rnacentral:rRNA from 3 species
CGCUGGUGUACCAGUUGUUCCGCCAGGAGCACGGCUGGAUAGCUAUGUAGGGAAGGGAUAAGCGCUGAAAGCAUCUAAGUGCGAAGCCCACCUCAAGAUGAGAUUACCCAUUCGUAAGAAUUAAGAGCCCAGAGAGAUGAUCUGGUAGAUAGGCUGGAAGUGGAAGAGUUGCGAGACUUGGAGCGGACCAGUACUAAUCGCUCGAGGACUUUACCAAAA